rnacentral:rRNA from 1 species
UACAGAGGGUGCAAGCGUUAAUCGGAAUUAUUGGGCGUAAAGAGCUCGUAGGCGGUCUGUUGCGUCGGCUGUGAAAACCCGGGGCUCAACCCCGGGCCUGCAGCCGAUACGGGCAGACUAGAGUUCGGCAGGGGAGACUGGAAUUCCUGGUGUAGCGGUGAAAUGCGCAGAUAUCAGGAGGAACACCGGUGGCGAAGGCGGGUCUCUGGGCCGAUACUGACGCUGAGGAGCGAAAGCGUGGGGAGCGAACAGG